rfam:Aeromicrobium sp. Root495 contig_1, whole genome shotgun sequence.
GGGGCUGAUCGGUUUCGACUUUGGUCGUUUCGAUGCAGAAGAAGCGGGUAGAGAAGCCAACGUCAUCUCUUAAACGUUCGUUGGAACCCUAUAAGUGCCGAUUCCAAGCGCACUGACUUCGCCCUCGCUGCCUGACAGCGACUGGUGAAGGGCAGACCCGGGAGCGUCCCCGUCCCGGAUCGUCUGUCUCAUCUAGGGGACUUGCUGAUCACGCCGUGCCACGUGGCGUGAUCGGGACUUUUUCGUGGCUGAGCCUGUCGGCGACGCGUUCGUCCGAGCGCCGGGGCUGAGAAAAGCGUCAGACGAACUGCACCCGGAGAAGUCCUGUAUCUGCGCCAGAGGACCGGGGUUCGAUUCCCCGCAGCUCCACUA